AGUGAACGCUGGCGGUAGGCCUAACACAUGCAAGUCGAACGGCAGCACAGUAAGAGCUUGCUCUUACGGGUGGCGAGUGGCGGACGGGUGAGGAAUACAUCGGAAUCUACUUUUUCGUGGGGGAUAACGUAGGGAAACUUACGCUAAUACCGCAUACGACCUACGGGUGAAAGCAGGGGAUCUUCGGACCUUGCGCGAUUGAAUGAGCCGAUGUCGGAUUAGCUAGUUGGCGGGGUAAAGGCCCACCAAGGCGACGAUCCGUAGCUGGUCUGAGAGGAUGAUCAGCCACAUUGGAACUGAGACACGGUCCAGAGUCCUACGGGAGGCAGCAGUGGGGAAUAUUGGACAACGGGCGCAAGCCUGAUCCAGCCAUACCGAGUGGGUGAAGAAGGCCUUCGGGUUGUAAAGCCCUUUUGUUGGGAAAGAAAAGCAGCAGGUUAAUACCCCGCUGUUCUGACGGUACCCAAAGAAUAAGCACCGGCUAACUUCGUG
rnacentral:rRNA from 1 species